CCUGACUGACCGAUAGUGAACCAGUACCGUGAGGGAAAGGCGAAAAGAACCCCGGCGAGGGGAGUGAAACAGAACCUGAAACCGUGUACGUACAAGCAGUGGGAGCCCCACCACUAAGCCAGUGGUGAACUCCACAUACGCAUCCUUUGCGGAAGAUGCGGUUAACGGAGCGAAAGCGACGUUCAACCUCAGAAGAAGCAGAGGGGGCUUAGUGGUGGGGUGACUGCGUACCUUUUGUAUAAUGGGUCAGCGACUUAUAUUCUGUAGCAAGGUUAACCGCAUAGGGGAGCCGAAGGGAAACCGAGUCUUAAUUGGGCGUUAAGUUGCAGGGUAUAGACCCGAAACCCGGUGAUCUAGCCAUGGGCAGGUUGAAGGUUGGGUAACACUAACUGGAGGACCGAACCGACUAAUGUUGAAAAAUUAGCGGAUGACCUGUGGCUGGGGGUGAAAGGCCAAUCAAACCGGGAGAUAGCUGGUUCUCCCCGAAAGCU
rnacentral:rRNA from 1 species